AAUAAUAAGGUACAAAUCAAAUGUUUAAUCAGAUAGACUUGCAAGGUAUUUGAAAAAUAUUUUUUAAAAGACAGGCAGCCUGCUUGAUGCAUGGGGAAGGGGGAAGGAAUGAAGAAGAAGUGAAAAAUUAUUGUAGGAGAAGAAAAUAAGUGUGCAAGUUGAUGAACAAAGGCAACCAGGAAGGAGAACUGAGCUCACCCCACAACAGCAAAAAUUUUAAAAGGAAAAAUACUGGACUAGAUGAGACUUUGGUCCGAUUCAGCAAGGCUCUUACAUUCUAAAUACGGAUCCAUCUGUUACAUAGAAAUGAUGCAUAUUGUGCUCCUGAGACUCCAUCAAGAGAUGUAGAAUGAAGGCAACACAGAGAUUUACUGGCUUUCUAGAGCCAGAAUAGAAAGUAUCCAGCAAGCUGGGAAUGAUUGGCCUCUGGUGCUCCAGGUAGAUCCCGCCUGAUCUCAACUAAGUGCAAAAAAGGAGGAGAAAGAGAAGAAAAAAGGUGGGAACACCAGGAGGCGAAUUUCAUAUACUGAGAACUCAACACAGAAGGAUUCCUAUUGACUUCAGUGAGCCAUUGCAGGGACUAAACAAAUUACUAAUGGCGACUAAUGCUUAUGUUCUCUUCAACUUUUUGGGCCCUUCCCAUCCCAGCUUAAAAGGAAAGGUAUCAGCAAUACAUCUUGGUACACUGAUGAAAGGAUGCAUGUUCUACCAACGCUGCAAAUGAAGCCCCCAAGGAUUAACUGUUUCUUGAUUACAUGACACAAACUAUAUGACAAUGUGACCUGGGCCUUCUCAUUUCCUUGUGUGCAUGCUCAUCUUCACUAACACAGGCAAAAUUCCUUGUAUUACCACUUUGUAUAUUUUUAUAUAUCUUUAUAUAUCCAUCUAUGAUCAACUUCAAUGUCAUUUUUCUUUCUAGCCUCUAAAACACAUCACUUGCAAACAUCUUUAAAAGGCUGCAAAGAAUUCAGUGAAGUAGUCAUCCUUUGAACUAGUAUGUUAUUAAGCAAUAAUCUAAAGAAAUAACCAUUGUGAAAUUCUGCAACAAAUUGUUAUAAUACAUUGUCCAUUUAUUGUUGUAAGCUUAGAAGCUGCAACCUUAUAGGACAACCAAUGUCAGAUUAUUUCAGGAAACAAUACACUUACCUUAUUGUUGGGAAAACAGUGAUGCUGAUGCUUUGGGUGAAGUUUAUGGAGUUUGUUAUGAAUGGGGAUGACCUAUCUGGUCCUGAGUGGUUUCUAUGCUUGUUCUUGGGUCUGCAUGAUGCCUAGUACCGAGACACACUGGGGACUGACCCUCUCCAAAAAGAUUGGCAUCUAGCUGACAUAAAGUAACUAUUUAUAGAAGCAAACACUCCAGCCACUCAUAUCUUCCUGGUGAAAGCAGAGAACAGAAAGGAUUCUGCCGCACGCACUACAAAAGAGUGCAUAUCUCUUCCACAGCUUAUUGAAAUGUUUGACAGAACGCUUCUUCAUACUUGUACAGCUUGUCCCAUCAUCAUGUUUGAGAAUGCUAAUCUUCAUGUUAUAACUAGGAGAAAGACAUUUUAAAAUAUGCUCAAUUAAAUAUAUGGAUGGCAAAGACUAUAUAUGAUGGGAUUGGAAUGAACUAAUCUAUUACUGAAAGAUAAAACCAUGUUUCUAAACUGUUUAAUGGCUAAAGUUAGUGCCUAGACAAAGACUGCACUUCAAAUUCUGCAGAGUUGUGUGCACUGAAAAAAUAAUUUUGCAGAUUUCACUUGGGGUGUGU